rnacentral:rRNA from 1 species
AGGGUUCGAUUAUGGCUCAGAAGGAACGCUGGNCAGCGUGCAUAACCCCAUGCAAGUCGAACGAUGAAGCAUUCUUCGGAAUGUGGAAGAGUGGCGAACGGGUGAGGAACACGUAAGAAUCUGCCCCUCGGUCGGGGACAACUCUUGGAAACGAGAGCUAAUACCCGAUACGCUGUGGAGUGAAAGAAUUUCGCCGAGGGAUGAUCUUGCGUCUGAUUAGCUAGUUGGUGUGGUAAAGGCAUACCAAGGCGACGAUCAGUAGCUGGUCUGAGAGGAUGAACAGCCACAUUGGAACUGAGACACGGUCCAAACUCCUACGGGAGGCAGCAGUGGGGAAUUUUCCGCAAUGGACGAAAGUCCGACGGAGCGACGCUGCGUGAAGGAUGACGGCCCGCGGGUUGUAAACUUCUUUUCUCGAAGAAGAAGCUCUGACGGUAUUCGAGGAAUAAGCAUCGGCUAACUCCGUGCCAGCAGCCGCGGUAAGAC